rnacentral:lncRNA from 1 species
CUCCCUCCCCGGAGCCAGCGGCAGCGCGGCACCUCCGCACGGUGGGUCCCCGUCCUUCCCUGGGGAGAAGAGGGGCUGGGGCUGGGGAGCUGCUUUCUGGGCGGCACGGUGCAGGAUUGGGCCCCGAGGUUCUGGUGGUCCCAGUGCCAGGGGGCACAGGACUGGGGAAGGCUGUGGGUGUGCUUUGGGGUCUGCAUGUUGCCUUGUGCAGUCUCUGUGUGCCAGGGGGGAGCAGGGUGGCCUGGUCUGGGCGCCGCGCAUGUGGCAGCGAUCCUGAGUAUGUUCCAGGAGAGAGGGCAGCCAAGCCCUGGCAUGAGCUAGGAGAGAGGGCAGCUGUGCCCUGGCAUGAGUGGGAAUGAGAGGCUGCUUGUGCCACAGCCCCACAAUGAUGGAGGUGGGAGCAGGGCUGGACAUGUGGCAGGGCACUCAUGCAAAGGCUCCUGCCCUGCAGGGCAGAGGGGCAGCAGUGCCAGCAGUGGCUGCAGCCCGAGCCAGAGCCAUUGGAGGUGGCCAGAGAGCAGAAAUAUGCUGGAUUUAUGGCCCGUCUCAUGAUGUGUUUAUGAUUGGGAUGAGGCAGCUGCAGAUGCUGCCCAGCCCUGCCCUGCGCGGCACGGCAGGUCCCUGCUCUGCAUCCCGGUGCCGACAGGGUGGAGGUUCACAGGCGGACUUUGCUCUUCGAGGUGGAGCUCCCCAGGGCUCUCCCUGGCACCGCUGCCGUGUCUGCCCACUGCCGGGCAACUCGACAGCUCCUCCCUGUUCGCUCCACAGGCAGCGACCCAGCAGGGACCCUGUGGGGGCAGGGUCCUGUCCUGUCUGCCCGGUCCUGUCCGGCCCUGGCGCUGCUUUGGUGCUGAGCCCCCCGCGUCACGUAGCAGCCACCGCAGAGCAGGCAGGGGCCGGAGAAGGGACUCUGCUGCCCGCAGCGCCGCUCCAGGGAGCCAGGGUGGACCCUCCUCAUGGCAGCCAGGCCCCCGCAUAACACCAGCCAAACUGGACACCCCGGUCCCACGAGAGACCCUCCCCAGCCAGAACCAACCCUUCUGCCACCUGCAGCCCAGCCCGGACUCUCCUGUCCCUGCCUGUCCCCACACCA